rnacentral:rRNA from 1 species
AGCGUACACGGUGGAUGCCCUGGCAGUCAGAGGCGAUGAAGGACGUGCUAAUCUGCGAAAAGCGCCGGUAAGGUGAUAUGAACCGUUAUAACCGGCGAUGUCCGAAUGGGGAAACCCGGUGCACUUCGGUGCAUCAUCGUUAGCUGAAUACAUAGGCUAACGAGGCGAACCGGGGGAACUGAAACAUCUAAGUACCCCGAGGAAAAGAAAUCAACCGAGAUUCCCCCAGUAGCGGCGAGCGAACGGGGAACAGCCCAGAGCCUGAAUCAGCUUGUGUGUCAGUGGAACGGUCUGGAAAGGCCGGCGAUACAGGGUGACAGCCCCGUACACGAAGGCACACAGGCUGUGAGCUCGAUGAGUAGGGCGGGACACGUGAUAUCCUGUCUGAAGAUGGGGGGACCAUCCUCCAAGGCUAAAUACUCCUGACUGACCGAUAGUGAACCAGUACCGUGAGGGAAAGGCGAAAAGAACCCCGGCGAGGGGAGUGAAACAGAACCUGAAACCGUGUACGUACAAGCAGUGGGAGCCUUCGUAAGAGGGUGACUGCGUACCUUUUGUAUAAUGGGUCAGCGACUUAUAUUCUGUAGCAAGGUUAACCGUAUAGGGGAGCCGAAGGGAAACCGAGUCUUAACCGGGCGUUAAGUUGCAGGGUAUAGACCCGAAACCCGGUGAUCUAGCCAUGGGCAGGUUGAAGGUUGGGUAACACUAACUGGAGGACCGAACCGACUAAUGUUGAAAAAUUAGCGGAUGACCUGUGGCUGGGGGUGAAAGGCCAAUCAAACCGGGAGAUAGCUGGUUCUCCCCGAAAGCUAUUUAGGUAGCGCCUCGUGAACUCAUCUCCGGGGGUAGAGCACUGUUUCGGCUAGGGGGCCAUCCCGGCUUACCAACCCGAUGCAAACUGCGAAUACCGGAGAAUGUUAUCACGGGAGACACACGGCGGGUGCUAACGUCCGUCGUGAAGAGGGAAACAACCCAGACCGCCAGCUAAGGUCCCAAAGUCAUGGUUAAGUGGGAAACGAUGUGGGAAGGCCCAGACAGCCAGGAUGUUGGCUUAGAAGCAGCCAUCAUUUAAAGAAAGCGUAAUAGCUCACUGGUCGAGUCGGCCUGCGCGGAAGAUGUAACGGGGCUAAACCAUGCACCGAAGCUGCGGCAGCGACGCUUAUGCGUUGUUGGGUAGGGGAGCGUUCUGUAAGCCUGCGAAGGUGUGCUGUGAGGCAUGCUGGAGGUAUCAGAAGUGCGAAUGCUGACAUAAGUAACGAUAAAGCGGGUGAAAAGCCCGCUCGCCGGAAGACCAAGGGUUCCUGUCCAACGUUAAUCGGGGCAGGGUGAGUCGACCCCUAAGGCGAGGCCGAAAGGCGUAGUCGAUGGGAAACAGGUUAAUAUUCCUGUACUUGGUGUUACUGCGAAGGGGGGACGGAGAAGGCUAUGUCGGCCGGGCGACGGUUGUCCCGGUUUAAGCGUGUAGGCUGACUUUCCAGGCAAAUCCGGAAGGUUAAGGCUGAGGCGUGAUGACGAGGCACCACGGUGCUGAAGUGACAAAUGCCCUGCUUCCAGGAAAAGCCUCUAAGCAUCAGGUAACAUCAAAUCGUACCCCAAACCGACACAGGUGGUCAGGUAGAGAAUACCAAGGCGCUUGAGAGAACUCGGGUGAAGGAACUAGGCAAAAUGGUGCCGUAACUUCGGGAGAAGGCACGCUGACAUGUAGGUGAAGCCCCUGCGGGUGGAGCUGAAGUCAGUCGAAGAUACCAGCUGGCUGCAACUGUUUAUUAAAAACACAGCACUGUGCAAACACGAAAGUGGACGUAUACGGUGUGACGCCUGCCCGGUGCCGGAAGGUUAAUUGAUGGGGUUAUCGCAAGAGAAGCUCCUGAUCGAAGCCCCGGUAAACGGCGGCCGUAACUAUAACGGUCCUAAGGUAGCGAAAUUCCUUGUCGGGUAAGUUCCGACCUGCACGAAUGGCGUAAUGAUGGCCAGGCUGUCUCCACCCGAGACUCAGUGAAAUUGAACUCGCUGUGAAGAUGCAGUGUACCCGCGGCAAGACGGAAAGACCCCGUGAACCUUUACUACAGCUUGACACUGAACAUUGAGCCUUGAUGUGUAGGAUAGGUGGGAGGCUUUGAAGCGUGGACGCCAGUCUGCGUGGAGCCGACCUUGAAAUACCACCCUUUAAUGUUUGAUGUUCUAACCUGGCGCCAUAAUCUGGCGUGGGGACAGUGUCUGGUGGGUAGUUUGACUGGGGCGGUCUCCUCCCAAAGUGUAACGGAGGAGCACGAAGGUCAGCUAAUCCUGGUCGGACAUCAGGAGGUUAGUGCAAUGGCAUAAGCUGGCUUGACUGCGAGAGUGACGGCUCGAGCAGGUGCGAAAGCAGGUCAUAGUGAUCCGGUGGUUCUGUAUGGAAGGGCCAUCGCUCAACGGAUAAAAGGUACUCCGGGGAUAACAGGCUGAUACCGCCCAAGAGUUCAUAUCGACGGCGGUGUUUGGCACCUCGAUGUCGGCUCAUCACAUCCUGGGGCUGAAGUAGGUCCCAAGGGUAUGGCUGUUCGCCAUUUAAAGUGGUACGCGAGCUGGGUUUAGAACGUCGUGAGACAGUUCGGUCCCUAUCUGCCGUGGGCGCUGGAGAAUUGAGGGGGGCUGCUCCCAGUACGAGAGGACCGGAGUGGACGCAUCACUGGUGUUCGGGUUGUCAUGCCAAUGGCACUGCCCGGUAGCUAAAUGCGGAAGAGAUAAGUGCUGAAAGCAUCUAAGCACGAAACUUGCCCCGAGAUGAGUUCU